rnacentral:SRP_RNA from 1 species
GCCAGGUGUGGUGGCGCAUGCCUGUAGUCCCAGCUACUCGGGAGGCUGAGGCAGAAGAAUUGCUUGAACCCGGGAGGCAGAGGUUGCAGUGAGCCAAGAUCACACCACUGCACUCCAGCCUGGGUGACAGAGUGAGACUCUGUCUCAA